AAUAUCUCAUUUCCAUGUAAAGAAACAAGUUUUUCCCUUCUCUCUCAUUCCCGCGGUAGUAUAUCUCAGCCCUGCUCGACCUAUAAACCUCCGCCCUGCUCCAGCUCUGCAGAUCUGAGGAAGGCGAGGGCUUCUCGUGAAAAAAGAUUAGGGUUCUUGCUGCGGGAUCUGAUGCGUAAGUUCGUGGCAUGAAGCUCCCGGGUGGUUUUGGCUUUCCGGGGAACAAGGCACGCUUCUCCGGUGUUGUUCGGGGGGUGCUGUUCGGUUGUUUGAUCAUUGAUGACCUUGCAAUGGCGUCCCUCUGAAGUUCGAGGCCCUUCUAACUCGGAUGGAGAUUUCAGGGCCGAUUACGCCUGGCCAGAUGGCGGUGUUGGUUGGAUUCAUCCCCAUUCUUUUGGCAUGGAUGUAUGCUGAAGCGCUAGAGUUCUGGAACAAAUCAAGGCAAGCAACUGUCAAUCCCACCGUCCCUGAUAUUUUACUCAAGGAAGAAGCCAAAAAACAAUUGUUGGAGAGUGGCCUGUCACCGGAAUCUUCAAGAGCUUACAAACAAAAAGCAGGACUUUUCAGAUUUUUCAUGAUGGACAAGGAUUUCCUACUAGACAAUCGCUUGACAUUGAGAGCUGCAUCUGAAUUUGGAGCCUUCUUGGUUUAUUUCUACCUAUGUGAUAGAACUGAUCUGUUUGGGGAGUCCAAAAAGAACUACAACAGGGAUCUUUUCUUUUUUCUGUUUUUCCUUCUCAUCAUUGUAGCAGCAAUGACUUCUUUAACAAUCCAUCACGACACUUCUCCAUUCUCAUCGAAACCAGUCCAAUAUCUCAAUAGGCACCAAACUGAGGAAUGGAAAGGAUGGAUGCAAGUACUCUUUGUGAUGUAUCAUUACUUUAAUGCUAAAGAAACUUACAAUGCAAUUCGUGUUUUUAUUGCGGCAUACGUGUGGAUGACUGGGUUUGGCAACUUCUCUUAUUAUUAUGUCCGAAAAGAUUUCAGCCUUGCGCGAUUUUACCAGAUGAUUUGGCGAUUGAACUUUUUUGUAGCAUUUUGCUGCAUCAUCCUUGGCAACCAUUAUAUGUUGUAUUACAUCUGUCCAAUGCACACAUUUUUCACUUUGAUGGUCUACUGCUCACUUGGAAUUCUUAACAAAUACAAUGAGACUGGAUCAGUGAUUGCAAUCAAAAUUGCUGCAUGCUUCUUGGUGAUCGUUGCAGUGUGGGAGAUUCCUCAUGUCUAUGAUUUCGUUUGGGCGCCCUUCACUUUCCUUUUAGCAUAUAAUGAUCCGGAUGCCUCAAGGAAGUACCCACCUAUGCACGAAUGGAAUUUCCGAGCUGGCCUUGAUCGCUAUAUUUGGAUAUUGGGAAUGAUAUAUGCUUAUUUUCAUCCAAUGGUAGAGGGAUGGUUGGAAAAAUUAGAACAAACAGAAGUGAAGCUGAGAACAUUGAUCAAAACUUGUAUCUCUGCAAUCUGCCUUGUGGUUGGUUAUCUAUGGUACCAGUACAUUUACAAGCUCGAAAAGUAUACCUACAACAGAUACCAUCCAUACACAUCAUGGAUACCGAUCACGGUAUGCAUCUGCUUGCGGAACAUCACUCAGGAAUUUCGAAGCUAUACCCUCACCCUCUUCGGGUGGCUCGGAAAGAUGACACUGGAGAGCUACAUAGCACAGUUUCAUAUAUGGCUAAGGUAUGUGUUCCUAUACGUUCGUUUGAGUUGAAAAAAAAAAUGCACCACCACAUGUUACCCCAAAGCUUCCUGGAUCCUCUUUGUGACAAAAUGCAGAUCAGGGAAACCAGAUGCACAACCUCAAAAGCUACUGUCGAUCGUUCCCAACUAUCCGAUGUUGAACUUUAUGCUCAACACUAUCAUAUUUGUCACUGUUGCGCAUCGAAUAUUUAUUCUGACAAACAAGCUGAAGCCGGCAAUGAUACCGGCCGGGGACAAUAAGCAGUUGCUCUUCAACUUGAUUUCGGGAGUCAUCAUCUCCAUCACCUUAUAUGCUUUGUCAUUGGUUUUACUCAAUCUUAUGAAUAAACAGAAAAUAUAGGAAUUUGAGUUCUAAGCAAGAACUUGACAGUGAAGUAGAAUAUCUGUUGUGUUUUGUUGAUAUGCAGGUUUAGUGUACAGUGGAAUUAAGGAAAUAGAAUUAUCAUCAGAUUUAAGGCGUUAAUGGACUAUUUAGUGACAAUUAUUAUUUCAUAAACAUCUUGAUUAUAGUAAGCUCAUUAAAUUUGAAGAAUUUCUUGCUAAA